CACCUCUCAGGCUCACACCUGGAGAGUUUCCAACACUCUACCAGUCUCGACCACGAGAGGGAGAGUCAAGCAGAAACCUACCCAUUCCAUUCCUAGCUUGGACAGUGGCUAGCAAGUGGAAGGCAAUCGGCUACAAGU